rnacentral:rRNA from 1 species
UACGUAGGGGGCUAGCGUUGUCCGGAUUUAUUGGGCGUAAAGAGCGUGUAGGCGGCCAUGUAGGUCCGGUGUGAAAACUCGAGGCUCAACCUCGAGACGUCGGCGGAAACCAUCUGGCUAGAGUCCGGAAGAGGAGAGUGGAAUUCCUGGUGUAGCGGUGAAAUGCGCAGAUAUCAGGAAGAACACCCGUGGCGAAGGCGGUUCUCUGGGACGGUACUGACGCUGAGACGCGAAAGCGUGGGGAGCGAACAGG